rnacentral:tRNA from 1 species
CAAAGGAUAGUUUAAUUAUAGGAUUCCGGUUUUGGGGACCGGGG